GAUGAACGCUGGCGGUAUGCUUAACACAUGCAAGUCGAACGGUCACUUACGGUGAUAGUGGCGGACGGGUGAGUAACGCGUGAGAAUCUGUCUUCAGGUCGGGGACAACAGUUAGAAAUGACUGCUAAUACCGGAUGUGCCUUAUGGUGAAAGAUUUAUUGCCUGAAAAAGAGCUCGCGUCAGAUUAGCUAGUAGGUGGUGUAAGAGACUACCUAGGCGACGAUCUGUAGCUGGUCUGAGAGGACGAUCAGCCACACUGGAACUGAGACACGGUCCAGACUCCUACGGGAAGCAGCAGUGGGGAAUUUUCCGCAAUGGGCGAAAGCCUGACGGAGCAAUACCGCGUGAGGGGACGAAGGCUUUUGGGUCGUAAACCUCUUUUAUUAGGGAAGAUUUCAGGACGGUACCUAAUGAAUAAGCAUCGGCUAACUCUGUGCCAGCAGCCGCGGUAAU
rnacentral:rRNA from 1 species